rnacentral:sRNA from 1 species
AAAAUAUAAUAUAAAAAAUGGGUGAAAGGGUUGCCAUCGCGUGGGCGAUAUUUUUCUAAGUGCGGGAAUCGAUAGUAGCUUUAAAGUAUGGCAACUCCCCCACCCUAUUUAUUCUAGUGCAUUUAGUUGAAUUGAACGUGUUGAAUUGCAUUUAACAAAAGAAAUAAUCAACAAGGAGUGAUUUUUCCACCUACGACGACUUCAUUAGGGCCAUCCGGGAUGGAAUAAGGAGAGCCAAAAAUAAAAAUUAUAAGGAAAAAUCCAAAAAAAACAAAGAAAAUU